GUGCGCGCCCGGAGCAGGGGCGGGAGCCCGCGGGGCCCGGAGGCUCAGAGGGCGGCGGGCCGAGGAGGAGGAGACGCGCCGGGAGCAGAGCGCAGGCUCCGCCGCGGUCCGGGCGCUCCGGCCGAGCCAGCCCAGCGGGCGGACCGACGGGGAGGAGGCGCCGGCGCGCGCGCGGCCCCCGGCAGCCGCCCGCGGAGCAGCCGCCGACGCGCGGGGCCGCGGACCCAGCCUUCGCCGCCCGGCCGGGCAUGAGCGCGGAGGGCCCGCGGCCGCCCCCUGCACCGCCCGGCGCGCUCGGGCCGUGACCGGAGCGGGGGGCGCGGCCGCACUCGGACCCCGGAGCCCAUGGGCGCGCCGAGCCGGGCGCGGGGGCGCUGAGCGGCGGAGCGGGCGCGGCCGGAGGAGCCAUGGACUGCAGCCUCGUGCGGACGCUCGUGCACAGAUACUGUGCAGGAGAAGAGAACUGGGUGGACAGCAGGACCAUCUACGUGGGGCACAGGGAGCCACCUCCGGGCGCAGAGGCCUACAUCCCACAGAGGUACCCAGACAACAGGAUCGUCUCCUCCAAGUACACAUUUUGGAACUUUAUACCCAAGAAUUUAUUUGAACAAUUCAGAAGAAUAGCCAACUUUUAUUUCCUUAUCAUAUUUCUGGUGCAGUUGAUCAUUGACACGCCCACAAGUCCAGUCACAAGUGGACUCCCACUCUUCUUUGUCAUUACUGUCACGGCUAUCAAACAGGGCUAUGAAGACUGGCUUCGACAUAAAGCGGACAACGCCAUGAACCAGUGUCCCGUUCAUUUCAUCCAGCACGGCAAGCUCGUCCGGAAGCAAAGCCGGAAGCUGCGAGUUGGGGACAUUGUCAUGGUCAAGGAGGACGAGACCUUUCCCUGCGACUUGAUCUUCCUUUCCAGCAACCGGGGAGAUGGGACGUGCCAUGUCACAACCGCCAGCUUGGACGGAGAAUCCAGCCAUAAGACGCAUUACGCCGUGCAGGACACAAAAGGCUUCCACACGGAGGAGGAUAUCGACGGCCUUCACGCCACCAUCGAGUGCGAGCAGCCGCAGCCUGACCUCUACAAGUUCGUGGGUCGCAUCAACGUUUACAGUGACCUGAAUGACCCUGUGGUGAGGCCCUUAGGAUCAGAAAACUUGCUGCUUAGAGGAGCCACACUGAAGAACACGGAGAAAAUCUUCGGUGUGGCUAUCUACACGGGCAUGGAAACCAAGAUGGCACUGAAUUAUCAGUCGAAAUCGCAGAAGCGGUCUGCCGUGGAAAAAUCCAUGAAUGUGUUCCUCAUUGUGUACCUCUGCAUCCUGAUCAGCAAAGCCCUGAUAAACACGGUCCUGAAGUACGUGUGGCAGAGCGAGCCCUUCCGGGAUGAGCCGUGGUAUAAUCAGAAAACGGACUCGGAAAGACAGAGGAAUCUGUUUCUCAAGGCCUUCACAGACUUCCUGGCCUUCAUGGUCCUCUUCAACUACAUCAUCCCCGUGUCCAUGUACGUCACGGUCGAGAUGCAGAAAUUCCUUGGCUCUUACUUCAUCACCUGGGACGAAGACAUGUUUGAUGAGGAGACUGGCGAGGGGCCUCUGGUGAACACGUCAGACCUCAACGAAGAGCUGGGACAGGUGGAGUACAUCUUCACAGACAAGACCGGCACCCUCACGGAGAACAACAUGGAGUUCAAGGAGUGCUGCAUCGAAGGCCACGUCUACGUGCCUCACGUCGUCUGCAACGGGCAGGUCCUCCCAGACGCCUCAGGGAUCGACAUGAUCGACUCGUCCCCCAGCGUCAGCGGGAGGGAGCGCGAGGAGCUGUUUUUCCGGGCCCUCUGUCUCUGCCACACGGUCCAGGUGAAAGACGAAGACAGCAUGGACGGCCCCAGGAAGUCGCCGGAUGGGGGCAAGUCCUGCGUGUACAUCUCGUCCUCGCCCGACGAGGUGGCGCUGGUCGAAGGUGUCCAGAGACUUGGCUUUACGUACCUGAGGCUAAAGGACAAUUACAUGGAGAUACUGAACAGAGACAACGACGUGGAAAGGUUUGAAUUGCUGGAAAUUUUGAGUUUUGACUCAGUAAGAAGGAGAAUGAGUGUCAUUGUGAAAUCUGCUGAAGGAGACAUUUAUCUGUUUUGCAAAGGAGCAGAUUCUUCGAUAUUCCCCCGAGUGAUAGAAGGCAAAGUUGACCAGAUACGAGCCAGAGUGGAGCGGAACGCGGUGGAGGGACUGCGGACUUUGUGCGUGGCCUAUAAAAGGCUGAUCCCAGAAGAAUAUGAAGGCGUCUGUCAACUGCUGCAGGCUGCCAAGGUGGCCCUUCAAGAUCGAGAGAAAAAGUUAGCAGAAGCAUAUGAGCAGAUCGAGAAAGAUCUUAUUCUGCUUGGUGCUACGGCUGUCGAGGACCGGCUGCAGGAGAAAGCUGCAGACACCAUCGAGGCCCUGCAGAAGGCCGGGAUCAAGGUCUGGGUUCUCACGGGAGACAAGAUGGAGACGGCCGCGGCCACGUGCUACGCCUGCAAGCUCUUCCGCAGGAAUACGCAGCUGCUGGAGCUCACCACCAAGAGGAUCGAGGAGCAGAGCCUGCACGACGUCCUGUUCGAGCUGAGCAAGACGGUCCUUCGCCACAGCGGGAGCCUGACCAGGGACACCUUCUCCGGGCUUUCGGCAGACAUGCAGGACUACGGUCUGAUCAUCGAUGGAGCCGCGCUGUCUCUGAUCAUGAAGCCGCGAGAAGACGGAAGUUCCGGCAACUACAGGGAGCUCUUCCUGGAGAUCUGCCGCAGCUGCAGCGCGGUGCUGUGCUGCCGUAUGGCGCCCUUGCAGAAGGCCCAGAUUGUCAAAUUAAUCAAAUUUUCAAAAGAGCACCCAAUCACCUUAGCAAUUGGCGACGGUGCGAACGAUGUCAGCAUGAUCCUGGAAGCACACGUGGGCAUAGGUGUCAUCGGCAAGGAAGGCCGCCAGGCGGCCCGGAACAGCGACUACGCAAUUCCGAAGUUCAAGCAUUUGAAGAAGAUGCUGCUUGUUCACGGGCAUUUUUAUUACAUCAGGAUAUCUGAGCUCGUGCAGUACUUCUUUUAUAAGAACGUCUGCUUCAUCUUCCCCCAGUUUUUAUACCAGUUCUUCUGUGGGUUUUCACAACAGACUUUGUACGACACCGCGUACCUGACGCUGUACAACAUCAGCUUCACCUCCCUCCCCAUCCUCCUGUACAGCCUCAUGGAGCAGCACGUCGGGAUCGACGUGCUCAAGAGAGACCCGACCCUGUACAGGGACGUCGCCAAGAACGCCCUGCUGCGGUGGCGUGUCUUCAUUUACUGGACGCUCCUGGGACUGUUCGAUGCGCUGGUGUUCUUCUUUGGUGCUUAUUUCAUGUUUGAAAACACAACCGUGACGAGCAACGGGCAGAUAUUUGGAAACUGGACGUUUGGGACGCUGGUGUUCACUGUGAUGGUGUUCACGGUCACACUAAAGCUUGCGUUAGACACACACUACUGGACUUGGAUCAACCAUUUUGUCAUCUGGGGGUCACUGCUGUUCUACGUCGUCUUCUCGCUUCUCUGGGGAGGAGUGAUCUGGCCGUUCCUCAACUACCAGAGGAUGUACUACGUGUUUAUCCAGAUGCUGUCCAGCGGGCCCGCCUGGCUGGCCAUCGUGCUGCUGGUGACCGUCAGCCUCCUUCCCGACGUCCUCAAGAAGGUCCUGUGCCGGCAGCUGUGGCCGACGGCAACAGAGAGAGUCCAGACUAAGAGCCAGUGCCUUUCUGUCGAGCAGUCAACCAUCUUUAUGCUUUCUCAGACUUCCAGCAGCCUGAGUUUCUGACGGAACAAGGUGAUACUCCCUGCCUUCCGCGCGCUUGGGGCGGUAGACCUGGGGCAGCAGGCUCCACCCCUCCCAGAGCCCCGAGUCCACACGCUGUAGCACAGCGUCCGCAGGCGCCAGGCACAGCAGCCCCACACCAGGAAGCCCACUACCACUUCACCUUCAGACUGCUGGUGGGCUAUGUUUUCCAUCAGUCACAUGUAACCAGGGCUUCUCCCUCAGCGUCUGUCCACACAGCCCGAGACCCCACCCGUGAAGGCUCGGACAGAGCUGACAGUGAGAGCCGGCCAUAUGACUCCUCACACAGGUGUCAGAGGGGUCCCUAGGCAGGAAGGGGUGGUCACCCAGGCCCUGAGCUCAGCACAGCCUUCCCUCCGCAGCCUGCAGGGCAGGGACCACCAGGCCUCCUCCCUCACGCACCCACUUCCGUGCCCAUUCUGCAGCUGGAAAGACUGAGGCAGCUAGCGUCACAUGGUGUGCUCAGGACCCAUGCAUAAUUCAGAAAACGGGACCCAGGCUGAGCCACAAAGCUGGAGACGGGGACAGAAGUGUUUGGUGUCAAAUGUUUGACCAAAUUCCCUUUUUAAGUUUCUUUAAAUGAAGACUUCAUUGUUUUUUUAAAAAGCCUUUUAUUAAUAAUUUGCCUUAAAAAUGGCCACCCUGGCCCUUCUGGGCAACGCAGAGGUGUUCACAUGCCACUUUCCUGAGGUGGCAUCCGUGGUCAGAGCUCUCGUCAGGGUGCAGGCUGCAGGGGCCACGCGUCGUCAGGUCGCCUUCUGUCUUUCAGCGUGUGCUCCUGCGCCGUGUGCUUGGGGCACCGUGGGAACGCCAGUGGGGAUCCUCCCCCGUCCCACCCUUUGUUCACACAUGCCUCAGAAUCAGGGAUGCUUUGGAAAUACAUACCUGGUAUUACUGUUUUACCAAACGCAGCUUAGAAAAAUGCCCAGAGUAGAAAAAGGCUUUUUUUCCCUUUAAUAAUAUCAUCUUCUAUAUAUUUUAAACACUAUUUUUAACUGGCAACAUGGUCUUUUUUUAAGUCCAAGUAAUUAAUAGGAAUCAAAAUUUUUCUAAUUUAGUGUCAUCAGAAUUUGUUAGAUUAAAUUACAGAAUUUCAUCUCGCCGUUUUCAUACUUGAAAACAUUCAGGAUGAAAUCACUAGGAGCACUUUAACAAGUCAUAGGAGGCCCUAAAGAAACUGAGUACAUCACACCAACUCUGGGAUAAAAAUACACAUUGUUUAACUAUCGCUGAAGUUCGCUGGGAGCUGAUUUGCUUCUGAGCAGGUGCAGAAGCUGAGCCCCGCUUCUUAGUGACCACGGCACGGAGGUUGUCCUGGCCUCCGCGAGGCCUCGGGCCCCAGCGUGGCCCCUGCAGGCAGGGCCGGCACGCACCUGAACGCAAAGCGCCCAGCACGCACAGGACACGCUGUGGUGCUGAGACCACCCGCGUUCCGCAAAACUUUGGAGGAAUAGACAUGUCAGCAGUCCUGACGCGGGCAUACGCUACUUCAGAAGGAUGGCUGCCUUUUAACCUGUUCCUAUGGGAAGGAAAAACCUCGCGGGCAUCAGGUGUACGCGUUAUAUAUGUGCAGCUCACAUAUAUAAGUCCACGCUGGCACCCCUCUGUGAUCUGUCUGCAGUUCACCUCUCCGUCACUGUCCCUGGCAAGGCUGGCAGCCUUAGCCUCUUUCCUGCUUCUCCUUGCCCGGACGUUCGCCCACUCGGACCUGCGGUUCUUCAGCUCCUGCGCUUCCCUUAUUCUUUGAAUAGACUGAGCCUGGGCUGCAGGAUCUCAGUGGAGCUCUGUGAGCACGUUGGCCUCGGGACACUCGGCCGCAGGGCCCUGGCAGAGCGGCUCCUGGGGCUGGCUGGCUGCCAUGGAAACGGGCAUGUGGCCAGAUGUGUGGCUUCAGGAUUCCAGAGGUGCCCGUGGACCUUCCAGCUGAGGGACUGAGACCCUCUGCCUCCCACAGGUGCCGUGACCUGUACCUGAGCUGGAGGCUGCCUCCGUUCUGGGCUUGGGCUCCCCCUGGGAGCGGCCCUGCUGGGACAGCGUCUGUUUUCCCGGAGAGGCCCCGAGCCCUUGCCCUGGCAGCUCCAUGACGCCCCAUGCAGACUUUAACAGGGGCUCAGAGCCUCUUCCUGCUGGGGCCCACAGAUGGUGCAGGCAGAGGCCCGGGUGCUCCUGGUUCCCAUGGGUGGCAGCUCAGUAGCCCCGCGUGGCCCGUGUUGGGUGGCACCGCUCAGUGUCUUUCCUCGCCUUGCAGAGGGGCGCGAAGCACAAGGCUCCGGUCCAGGCCGCACAGCGCAGCGACGGGCCCCUCCUGAAGGAUCUCCUGCGGCGGCCGCGGCGCAGUUAGCUCCACGCUAGAGCCCAGGCUACCAGAGCACCCGUCCCUCGGCCGCCUGGAGCGGCUGCAGGCCUCAGCGGGUGGCACUCGCGGUCUGGAAGGGGAAGGUGUCCGCGGAGCCCCCACCCGCCCCCAGCUGUUCCCAUCACUGCUGCAGUUCCAGCCCGAGGCACAGCCGCCCUGGGUCCCUCGUGGGAAUGCUCGUGUGAUGGGCGACCCCAAGCCUGUGGAGACUGUGCUUGUGCCUCUUCCUGGCCCCAGCAGGCAAGGAGGGGCCACAGGCCUUGCCUCAAGCGUGGCUGUUGGCCAUCUGGACUAGCGCUGUGGUGGUUCAGCCACAGUGGUGGCCUCUGGGCAUUCAGCUCAACUCAGAAGGGACAUUCUGCCAGCCCACCCUCUGCACUGUCAGGAAGAGGCCUGUGUCUUCACCCACCUGCCGUCAUCAGCCUUUGCUGUCACUGGGAGAGAAGAGCCAUCCAGGGACCUGUGGUGGCCCACGUGUGGACGCUGCCCGCUGUUGUGUCCUGCAUGCCUGGCUGCCGCCAGUGCCCUCCGUAGGACGAGGUGAAGCUGUGUCAGCGCGUCCUUUACUCAAGAACCCUCAACCCUCUUGCUGUGGGAAGGGCCAGGUCACUCAGACACUGUCGUCCCCACCGACGCAAGGCUUAGCCUGCCUGCCCUGUGCGUCAGGCUGACUGAACUGCGGUCUCUUCCCAUCACUGGCAGCCUCCUGGAGAAAACUGCCACGUGGGAGGACGACCACGCCAGCAGCUCCCGGCCCUGCAGCAGAAGCGCCAGGAUGUCCGUCGGCCACGCGCCUGAGCACGGAGCCGUCAGCCUGCCCCCACCACUUUUAUGGGAGAAUGUUGAUUUCGUGGUUGCAAGGGACAGGGGGACAGAUACUUGGCUGUGAUGGGCAGAUAUCCUCUGUCCCCAUGGAGGGGUGACCACCAAGGUGGUGUUCAUGCCCCAGAACCUGUCUCAGGCUGAUGGGGGCAGCCCACAGGAAGGGGGUCAAUCCCACCGGGCUCUGCCUCCCGCGUCCCCACAUCCCCACGCAGGGCUCUCCUUCCUCUUAGGAUUCUGUUCAGCGCUGCUCUGAGUGAGUUAGCAACCCCCCGGCUGCUGUGAUAGGAAGUCCCUGUUGCUCUCUGUACCGGCAUUUCUAUUUCUAGAAACCUUUACGUAGCCUUAAUGGUCCUUAAAGAAGACAUUUCAGUGUGAAAUUCAGACUUCAGACACUGAAACUGCUGCCUUUUGGGAAAGCACCGUGGGAUACACAGGAGCCGCCCGCGCGCCCGCCCGCACGCACCGCGCGGGGAAACGGGGCUGCGGCAGGGGAAGCCCAGGGCGGUUCUGAGGUGCUUCACAGUAGGCGUUUUUGGAAGCUCAGAUUUCACCAUUUGAUUGUAUAAUCUUUUACCUAGAAAAUAUUUAUUUGAACUAGAGGAUAAAUCAACGGUAAGAACAGUGAACACGGUGGCUGGGAUGAACUGAGGGCACAGACACCACACCAAAGAUUAGGGUAGUGAGCAGCUGGCUUCCGCCGACAGAACGCCGAGGACGCGCCCUGUCCCGAGGGGCCGUCCCGCCCCGAGGUCUGUGUGCGGCCGCCCUGGCUUGGCAGCCCUGCCCACGCCACCCCGCAGACAAUGGUGUGUGCAUUUUUACAGCCCUUUUUAAGAACCCAAUAUGGGUAUAAAUGUAAUACCUGUAGGGAGACAGGUUCUCUGUAUGUUCAGUUAACAAAUUAUUUGUAAUGUAUUUUUUUAGAAAUCUUAAAAUUGCCUUUGCACUGAAGUAUUUUCAUAGCUGUUUAUAUCUCUUUUAUUCAUUUAUUUAACAUAUGGUCUAAUUUUAAAACUAUGUUUUUAAAGCUUUCCUUUUUAAGUUUAUGAAAUUUUGGCCACUUUACAUUUAGAUGCUGGGGAGAUGUUCCAGUCUCUGAUGAAUGUGAAUUUCCAGGUUUGAUUUUAUUCUCCACACAUGCCUCUUCCCUUUCUUGGUAUUUCUGGUGGCGGUGAUUAGUUGAACAGCAUAUUUAAGGUACGAUAAUUUGCUAUGCUUUUUCUUUACAAUUCAUUGCAGUUUCAUCUGCUUUCUAUGUUUUGUUAAUUUCCAUCCUUCAGCCUUAAAAAUAGAAGAUUCUCACAUGAAGGGUUAGUAAGCUGGGGCCCAGUUCUGCUUGUGCCGAGAUAGUCACCACGUACCUCUGACCACAGGUCUUAGUGUGACAGUCACUAAACUUUUACACACUCCCAGACAUCUUUUUAAAAUUGCUUGGGAAAUUAUUAAGUGAAUGUGCCUGAUAAUUUGAACUAGACAAGCGGCAUGAGACGAGAAAUGAAAGGAUGGGAAGACCCUCAGUGACUGACGUUGCAGCUGUGACUCCAGGCAGUUUCCACCUCACACUAGUUAGUAUUUACUUGCCUUAAACUAACUUUGAAGCAAGUAAUGUCAACUUUAAGCACUUUGUUUUAAAAAUCUUAUUCGCUGCUGCACAUGUUAAUGAAUUACCAACUUGUAACUCGGCAUGUUGGUCAGAUACACGGUUGCUGCUCCACACCCAGUCCCUGCCACAGAUCGUCUGUCUCAUACACGCACAGGCAGGCCCGCUGCACAUGAGUUCCCUUCGCUUUGGCUCCAUUUCACUCACAGCCAUGUACACACAUGCAGGCUUGCACACAGGAACACAUGUAUACAUAUGCACAUGGACACACAGGUAUGCAAGCUCCUACAGGCAUGCAUGCACACAAAUGUGUACACAGUGUGUGUGAGCUCCUACACUUAUACACACACAUGUACGGACACCACAAAAGCAUGUGUGAGCUACACACAUAGGCAAUCCAUGCAUAGGUGUACACAUACCACAGGUACAUGAAAGCUCCUACACACAGAAUGCAUGCAUGCACACACACCACAAACAAGCUAAGUUCCUGUACAUGGACGCGUGAGUACAUACAUGCAUGUAUAUUAAGCACAUAUGGACAAGCUCCUAUGGGCUGGUCUCACAUGCCUAUGCACACCAGAAAUACCUAUGAGCUUUUAUACCUGUACACAUGGAUACACACAUGUACAUUCACUACAAACGCGUGCAAGCUCCCACGUGUGCACACGUGAGCUCCUACACAUGUGCACACCCCCAGACGUGCAGGCUCCUGCACUCAUGAAUGCAUGUAUACACACGCAUGUUUGCAUACAUGAACACGUGUGCACACAUGAAUGCACACACAUGCACCCCUGCCUGGUGUCCCACACCGCAUUCUUCCUCCUUCCUGAGGGCCCUGUGAGGGGCCUCUGGCCAGGCGUGGGAAGAUCGGGCUCCCUGGACCCUGCCCCAUGCCUCCGUGCGAAGAAGAGUCCUCCUGGUAGAAUGUCUGGGUUUUGCAGAGCAGGCCCUGGGGGUGAAGCCGCAGCUUCACUUACACAGCUGCUCUGUGCGUCACGCUUGGCGUCCUGGACAAGGCCCUUUCCCCCAGGGAGGUCCGGCCCCACAAGAUGAAACGUCCCCUCGGCUCAGCCCUAAACCAGGCGGCCACAGCAGGGCUGGCUGCAGCAACGCCACACCUCAUCCCCGGCACGUCAGGGAGCAUGGCCAGCCUUCCACCACAAGCCAGCGGGGCAGGGCCACAGCCUCUUCAAGCCCCAGUCAGCCCAGCCUGUGUCUGAGCAGACGCGGCGAACGAGCAGGCCACACAGCCUUGAGGGAGCAGGCCAGUCAUGGCCAGCCUCUCCCGCACGUGACCAUUCAGCUUGCCGAGCGUUUCAACACCUGUUUAGAUGUGCCGUUGGGACUCCACUGAAUUGAGCCUCGGCCCGGGGUCCAGUGCCAUAGCAGGAAACCUCCAGCCUCCUUCAGACCACUCUGUCCAUGUGUUCUGCACUGACUCGUGUUGAAUGAUACAACCACUUUUAUUUAAUCUUACUGUUAUUUAUUUGACAACUCAGUGUCCAACAGCUUGAUAUGCAGGUCCAUGCAUUCCACAUCUCUUUAGGAAGCUACCCAUUUGUAACUUUAAAAACAGGAAAAAUAUCAGUUGGCAAAUGCGAUUUUUUUUUUAUUUUUAGCUAAAGGUGGGUGAACUUGAACAAAAAUGGUUCUCAUGUUGUGUCUAUAGGCAGCUUUGAUGGGGAUGUGUUAGAAGUGUCGUGAAAGUAUGAUUCUACUUUUGCAGAAAAAAAUCUAAAGAUCGAUUUAUAUAGCUUUAUUUUUUACCUUAUCAAAGUAUACAGAAUUUUAAUAUGCAUAUAUUCUGUCUGACUUAAAAUUAUAAUGUCUGCAUUACCAUUUAAAAUGUCUAUCCAUUAUGUAAUGUAAUAAAAGAAGGUCUUCAAAAAUGUACUUAACACGAAUGAUAUCCAUAGCUGUCAUCAUCAUAAAUACUGGAGUUUAUUUUUAAAUUAUUGAACAUAGUAGGUGCAUUUAACAUAAAUCAGCCUCCACACAGUAACAUUUAACUGUUAAUUCAUUAAUCUGCUUUGAAAAAUUAAAUUGUGAAUUAAACCAAAUAUAACAUUUCUGUAAAGUUUAUUUUGUAUGCUCCUGUUUUUAACUUUUAUUUCUGUAGAUAAACUGACCUGAUAAUAUUAAUUGGACUUUUCUCUAGAUUAUCUAAGCAAGAGACCUGAAUCUGCUUGCAAUAAAGAAUAAAAAUCUGCUUCAGUUUCUUCAUAAA